rnacentral:tRNA from 1 species
UCCCCUGUAGCUCAAUGGUAGAGCGCUUCGCUGUUAACGAAGAUGUUCGAGGUUCGAGUCCUCGCGGGGGAG